UGAAGAAUGAAUUAUCCAUUACAGCUAACCAAAAGAUAACAAAAAGUCUGAGCUCUUCAUCUUGCCUGUGUUCAAAAGACUGGUACACUCUGAGAAUUGUAAGUGUUAGAUGUGCUGCAGAACAGAUCCUGACUACACUGAUGUAUUUCCCUUGGACCUCUGUGGGCUUAGGAAGAAUAGGAUUACAUGCAAACGACUCUUGACAGCGAAUGCUGAGUGUCAGUGGGAAUCAGACUGGCUGAACCAGG
rnacentral:lncRNA from 1 species